AAAGAAAUCCUGCCUUGUGUCUGAGCUUGAUUAAGGCCUUUUGCCUCUCCAACUGCACUAAGGUGAUAAAAUCCUUCGUGAGAGUGAGUGGGGAAAUAUUACUUAGGAAAUCUGCAAUUUCAAGACUUACCUCUGAUCAGACUCUUCCUUGAACUCGUGAAAUAUGUUCCAAGUUUCCAGAAUUGGCAAGAUGGCAGUUCAGAAGGUUCUUGCAGCUCUCAUGAGGAAUCUAAACAUCAAAUGGGCAUCAAGAGAGCACCUGAGAAGGAACCAGUGUUACCCCUUCUGAAGCACCAUGGUAGGACCAUCAAGCAAAGCUGCACUGCUUUAUUCCCUUGUGAUCCUUCUCUUUGAAUCAAAUGGAGAAUUUUAACCUCUGAGAUAAAAAAAGUUUGUAUUUCAAUGCUAUGACAAUGGCUUAUGAUGAUUUCAAUAUAAGUUGAAAUAUGUACUUUCUCAGUGAAAUGCUUGCAGUCACUCUCUUGGGAUGUUUCUUUUUGUUCUGUAUUGUAGAAAAUUACUGUUGACUGGACAGCAGAUGCUUUCCUUACUGAGACUUGUUUACAUUUAGAUUUGGAGUAAAUGAUUUUUAAAA
rnacentral:lncRNA from 1 species